rnacentral:ncRNA from 1 species
AUUCGACUGCCACCGGGCAGCAACUUCAGGUACUUUUUACAAUUCCGUUAGGUCAUAGAAGGAAUUGUGAGGGGUACCCUUUUUCU